GGGCUCAUGGCCUAAUGGUAAGGCGUUAGAUUUCGGUCCCAUCUAUAAAAUGGUACACAGUUCUCUAAAGAUUGCAGGUUCGAUCCCUGCUGAGCUCG